rnacentral:rRNA from 1 species
CCCUUAGACGUUCUGGGCCGCACGCGCGCUACACUGACCAGUGCAACAAGCAUCCGUCCUUGGCCGACAGGCCCGGGCAAUCUUUGAACGCUGGUCGUGAUGGGGAUAGACUUUUGCAAUUUUUGGUCUUCAACGAGGAAUUCCUAGUAAACGCAAGUCAUCAACUUGCAUUGGUUACGUCCCUGCCCUUUGUACACACCGCCCGUCGCACCUACCGAUUGAAUGGUCCGGUGAAGCCUCCGGAUUGGCGCGCACCUCGGUGCCGCCGAGAAGUUGGCUAAACCUUACCAUUUAGAGGAAGGUGAAGUCGUAACA